UACGGCCUGGUGGUGGCAGUCCUCAUC
rnacentral:piRNA from 2 species